UUUCCCUAAAUAUAAAAAAAUAACUAUUUAUAUUUUAUAAAUAAUUUAAUUUGGUUGAAUUGUAUACUUUGUUCUAUAGUAAUGUUUAGAGUAAUAACUAGCAAUGAAUUGGAGAUAAUUUUUCCUUUUCAGCAUAGUUUCUAAAAAUGCAUGGAUACAUCACUAAACCAUUUUUUUAAUACACCAUGUAUAGUUUCUUGUGAUUUUAAAAAAUUAAUAAACGGACAUCGUUUUCACUAGCUAAUAUUUAGUGCAUAUGCAUUAGAUCACGAACUUUUUUUGGUAAACAUGUUAAAAAUUAGAUCACGAACUUAACUUUCGCUUUCCUCUUCUAGGUGAUUUGUUUAUUAUUUUUCCCAUACUAUACUAAUUCUUAUAUGAAACAUAAAAAAAUAUGCGUUAAAACUGAAUACAUUUCCCAAAGAUAUGAAAGACAUGUAAGCUCUGCCGUAGUGCCUUUUAGGUAAGCUCAUACGAAAGCGUUGUAAUUAAUAUUGCUGAUAGCUCUGAUCUCACUAAUCCCUGAAAUCCCUGGUUUACCAUAUAAUGAGUUUAUCCAAUUCUUCUUCUCCCACGUCACUCUUACAGCGUUUAUAACCUUCUUACCUAUAUUAAUUUUCCUUAUAUAAUAGACAGGAAAACGGCCAAGUCCAAUCUCAAUAUUGCUUCAUAGUCUCAAUCCAAACAUAUAUUUAGUAGUUACUAGUAAGUGCCUAUGCUAAAAAAUAGUCAACGUAUGAAAACUAUUUGUUACGUAUUGAAUACAAUGUUGAAGUCAGAAGGCCACUAUCUUACCAUUACCAUGGACACAUGCGUCACCAAGAUUAUUUUAACACCCAUGGUUUCUAAUAGAUUCACAAGGCAUUUCUACACUUUUUGCAGAAUAUGAUCGGUGAUAAUAAAAAACAGUCUUUUGUUUUAUUUAAUUAAGUCGGUGCCCAUCGACUUUGAUGCCAUGCAACUGAAGAAAAAUCCUGGUAACCUAUGGCCCGGGGAUAACUCUUGUCCACCUGAAAUAGAUAUAAAUAUCUCCGCCACAAAAUUCCAACUUUGACAACUUAUGUUUAGCUCAUACCAAACCAGGAAAUCUCGACACGUCCUCCAUGCACAUGCACAACCUCCUUUCCAAAAAAAAAAAACAUGGUUAAUCUUCUACAUGUGCGUUUAUAAUCUAUAACAUCUAUAUAAAGGCCACUACAAGAAAACAGGGGGAUUCUGAUGGCCGAAAUCGUCAGAAAUUCGUCGGAAUAGACCGAUCCUGACGAAUUUCUGACGAACCAAUCCGUCGGUAUAAUUUCGUCGGAAAAAAAAGAUUCGUCGGAAUUUCGUCAGACCUUCCGACGACUUUCUGACGAAUACCGAGAAACGUCAUUCUGACGAACUUCCGACGAUAUUCCGAUGCGGACACACGAGACCAGAGUUCAUCGGAAAAACUAUAUACCGAACGAGCACGUUCCUCGGACUAUACCGACGAACCGAGUCCUCGGAAAAUACCGACGGACUAUGGUUCGUCGGAAUUUUCCGAGGAACCUUCUCCGUCGGUAUUUUCCGACGACUAUGUUCGUCGGUAUAUUCCGACGCCCUCAAUUCGUCGGAAUAUAUCAAUUUUAAAUACGAAUUAAUUUUGCAUUUUUAUAUAUUUUUUUAUAUUAAAAAUUAAUUAAUAAAUAAAUAAAAUCUGAAAUUUAAAACUAAUAAUAUUAUAGAAUUUAAAUUCAUACAAACCGAAAUAGAAAAAAAAACAUUCAGAAAGUUAAAAAUUCAUACAAACCGAAAUAGAAAAAAAACAUUCAGAAAGUUUUAAAAAGCAGAAAAAACUAAGAACUCGAAGACAUCAAACGAUCUAGCUUCUGCAUUAUCUCGGCGCUGAACUUCUUCUGGAGCGGGAAUAUAUGCGGGAACCGAGUUUUGUUCAUGAGACGAUCCCGAUGCACGGGAACUGCUCACCAAACUACGUCGAAGACGGGCUGCGGGGCGGGGUACAUCCUCAGACCUAAAAAAAAAAUUAAUACAUCAAAAAUCUUUUCAAAUCAUUUCUAUUUUUAAUGUUUUCAUUUAUAUAUUUACAAAAGGUUUUAUAAACGUUUUAAAAAAAACUAUUAAACCUUUUAUUAUACAUAGUUUAUUACAGGAAACUUAUAAAAAAUUAUAAAAAUUUUAAAAUUUUUUAUUAUACAUGAUUUAUAUAUAUAUGUAUACAAAAUUAUAAAAUUUUUAUAAAUAUAGAAAAAUGUUGUUAAAUAUUUUUAAAAUUUUUAAAAAACAUUUUAUUAUACAUAGUUUAUUACUGGAAACUUGAAAAACGUUUUUAAAAAUAAAAAAACUUUUUAAAAAUAGUAAAACGUUUUGAAUUUUAACAAACACACAAAAUAAUUCCAAGAAAAACUAAAACAACAAUCCAAACAACAAUCCUAACUUAUAUAUCCUAAACUAUCCAUUCAAUCCUAAAAUUUUCAAUCAAACAACCUAAAAUCCGAGAUCUAACUUCCAAAACCCUAAAAAAAUGAGAUAAAACAAGGUUGGGAUGAUUCUUACAUGAUUUGGGGUUUGGGGAAGAGAUAUGAGGGUGAGAAGAGGAUUCGCCGGUGAUAGGAGCUCGAGAAUGGUCGGAAUCGCCGUGAAAGGGAGAGAAAUCGCGGAGAGGAUUGAGAGAGAGGCGGAGGCGGAAAUAACGAAGAAGGAAGAAGAAGGGUAAUUAUAUUUAAUGUUUCCGACGGACACAGGUUCGUCAGUAUUCCGUCGGGAUAAUUAAAUAUAUACCAAUUGGCGGUUCGCGAAAAUUUUCACGCGGUUUGGUUUUCCCGGGUAAAUUGAAAUUCCGACGGAAUUGAUGUCCGUCAGUAGAUUCCGACGGAAUACUGACGACUUUUUCUGACCGAAUUCCGACGACUUAGUGUUUAGGGGUUGAUUACAAGUUUCUAAAUGCAAAAUCCAAAUCUUUGAUAAUAUAUAUAGUAUUUGCAUAAAGAUUUAACAAUAAAAAUGUUUUUAUAACACGAUUUUACACAACAACAUUUUUUGUAGUGUAAGAUUAGAUGAAUAUGAUUGUAUAAGUAUAUGAGUGUUAAGAUGAGAUGUUAUGAAAACAAUGAUAUGCAUACAUAAAUAUUUUAAUGAGUUGUUAUAUUUGAACGGUUGUGAUCUAAUACUAUACUAAACACUUAUUAUGUGUUAUUUUCAUAGUUUUGGCAUCUAAAUUUAUAGAUUUUUAUGUUUAAAUUUUUUUAGAAACACAUGUCCUCGGUAAUUCGUCGGAAUAUACCGACGACAUUCCGACGAACUUGUGUAGUUCGUCGGAAUAUCGUCGGUAAAUUCUGACGAAUUACCGAGGACAUUUCCAAACUUCAAUGGAACCCUUUGUCGUCGCUAUGUCGUCGGUAUUUUGCGAGGGAUUUCCGACGGAAACAUGGUUCGUCGGAAAUUCGUCAGAAAAUGCCGACGGAAUACCGACGACGGUAACAUUUAUAUCUCUCAAUCGGAAUGACGUCGGAAGUUCGUCGGUAUAUUCCGACGAAUUUCCGACGACUACAACGGUUAUAUGUUUUAUCAGAAUGUCGUCGAAAAGUCGUCGGAAUAUUCCGACGAGCCAUUUUUCCUCUGAAAUUCGUCGGAAAUGGCCGACGGAAUUCCGACGACUUCAAAUUUUUUGUUUUCGUCGGAAAUUGGUCGGAAAUCCGUCACAAACGUCCGACGAAUUUUAAUCCGUCGGAACCUCCGUCGGAAUUCGGCGUGUUUUCUUGUAGUGGGCACUCAAUCUAAGAAAAGUUGGUCGUGUUACAUCAAUACAGACAACAACAACAACCUCAAUCAACGUAAACUAUACUAA
rnacentral:lncRNA from 1 species